CCACUAAUAGAAAACGCCAUCGUGUCGGUAAAAUACAAACAGUGAAUCGCGGCCACCAAAUCUUGAUGAUAGACACCCUUCUCGAAAUUCCACACCAACAAACCGGUCUUAGCUACCAAUCUUCAGUCGAUACCAAACCCUAGGUCUUGAAGCCUGAAAUAGGCGAGAAUAUAAGGGAAUUAGAGCCUCUCGUGUUAGGGAUUCCACUACUUCGGGUGAUUACACACGCCUAUGAGAAAAAGAUUAAGAAAGAAAGGUGGAUCGAGCCUACCUGCAGAAUGAAGAUCUGUCCUGGAAGUCGUUGAAGAGUGAAGAUGACGAUGUGGACCAAGGAUGACGGCGUUUCCGAUAUGAAUCCUUUGUGACCUCGCGUUCUUCUUCUUCUUCUUAUCUCGGAAAAUUAGGUUUAGCUCUUAUUGUUUCGUAGCUUCAAUGGGGAGCUCUGAAAAACAAUCCAGAAUGAGCUUUGAAGUGAAGGUAAGAGAAAGGGGCAGCGAAAAUUGCAAAGGAGAUUGAGAAUCCAAAAAUUCGAUCCUUUGUGAAUGAGGCUUGGGUUAUAUACAUUGAAGCUCUAGCUUGGCGUGCUGCAGAGAAAAAUGCAUAGUGAGUUUUUCGCAAAUGACUUCAUGAUGGUCAAGGAACUCUAGACUGGUACAACAUGUGAAAGCAGGUCUCACUUCGGAUUUGCGAGGCAGCUAUCACAGAUUGUUACAGACAUUACCUAUGUUGUAAUGGUGAGGUCUUUGUGUUUUUGCUUUCAAUUGGUUUCCAAUAGCCUAGUUUAAAACAUCCCACUAUCAGUGUUCCCUUUUUGCAGGCUAUUCCAUCAUCCAGACGUGGUAAAUAUGGGGGGAAAUGAAGCGCUCCAAGUCGUUUAUGAUUGCCUCGAGGGUACUAUCAAGCAGAUAAGUGACAAAAAUCUGGGGCCAACCCACGUCUCGACAAUAACUCUGAGGAUUGGUACGUAACGUCGUUGGGAGGAUCGUACAUGGUGACGCACCGUUCUUGUUUGAUGGAAACUCUGUCAAUUUGUUUGAUUUUCAAGGCAGGUUAAUUAGCAUAUGGAUUUCUUUUCUUGUGGUUGUAUGUGUUUGGCUACCAUGACUUUGCUUGGACUGUUUGUGGAAUGGAUCACGGCAGGAUGUCAUAUGGAGCUAUUAUCAUGGACAUGUUGGCAUGGAUCAAGGCGGAUAGGAACUUCUACGGACCAUUGGAAAUGUAGAAGACUUUGAACUUUGCUUUUAUGGUGAUGAGGUUUGAAAUGGCGAUGUACACAAUUUGACAUUAGGUCGUAGGUGAUUAGAUUAAUGUAAUGGAUCUUGUGCUAUAUGGUUUUGUAAUGUAUGAUUCAUAUUGUAAUUAUACAAUGGCAUGUUUGUAUUGUAAGUUGGUUGAAUAUGGUAAUGAAGGAAUUUGCUUGAGAUUGUAAGUUGGAUAUUUAAUGGUUAAUGGAAUUGGAUGUUUAUCAUGGUAAUUGGUUGUAAUGUAUGAUUUUGUUUUGAAUGGAAAUCAUAUUGGUUUGGACGUUGAAGGAUGAUGGAUGUAAUUGAAA